rnacentral:rRNA from 1 species
CAGCAGCCGCGGUAAUACAGAGGGUGCGAGCGUUAAUCGGAUUUACUGGGCGUAAAGCGUGAGUAGGCGGCUUCUUAAGUCGGAUGUGAAAUCCCUGAGCUUAACUUAGGAAUUGCAUUCGAUACUGGGAAGCUAGAGUAUGGGAGAGGAUGGUAGAAUUCCAGGUGUAGCGGUGAAAUGCGUAGAGAUCUGGAGGAAUACCGAUGGCGAAGGCAGCCAUCUGGCCUAAUACUGACGCUGAGGUACGAAAGCAUGGGGAGCAAACAGGAUUAGAUACCCCAGUAGUCCCUGUCUCUUAUAC